rnacentral:lncRNA from 1 species
CUCUUACAUGCCUGAUACAACAUAAGAAAGGGACAAUUUUACCACAAUAGACAUUUCCACUAAAAAAUGGGUAACUGUGACGGUUAAUAUUGAGUGUCAACUUGAUUGGAUUGAAUGAAGCAAAGUAUUGUUCCUGGGUGUGUCUGUGAAGGUGUUGCCAAAGGAGAUUAACAUUUGAGUAUGUGGAGUGGGAGAGGCAGACCCCACCUUAAUCUGGGUGGGCACCAUCUAAUCAGCUGCCAGGACGGCUAGAAUAAAGCAGGCAGAAGGUAGAAUGAGCAGAGUUGCUGAGUCUUCUGGCCUUCAUCUUUCUCCUGUGCUGGAUGCUUCCUGCCCUCAAAUGUCAGACUCCAGGUUCUUCAGCUUUAGACUCUUGGACUUACAUUGGUGGUUUCCCAGGGGCUCUCAGGCCUUCAGCCACAGACUGAAGGCUGCACUGUCGGUUUCCCUAUUUUUGAAGUUUUGGGACUCAGACUGAUCCACUACUGGCUUCCUUGCUACUCAACUUGAACACAACCUAUUGUGGGACUUUACCUUGUGAUCAUGUGAGUCAAUUCUCCUUAAUAAAUUCCCUUUCAUAUAUACAUAUAUCCUAUUGGUUCUUCCUUCUAGAGAACCCUAAUACAGUAACAUAGCAAUUACUCAACACAGUAAUUCUGAAAACAAGCUGAGUAUGUGCCACCAGCUUCUCUUAUUCAUUGAGGGUGUUGCUAGAAUAGGAUCCAUUUCUGCUUGAGAGUGAUUCCUUGAUCCUUUGUUCUCCUUGACUCUUGGUAGCAUCUAUUGGGCUGUUGGCUCUCCUUUAUGAGACGUCUUUUCAUUUUAAUAAGAAGUGGCCCCUCUUUGCAGCUGAGGAUCUCUCUCUGUCUGCUUUCUGCCCAUUGCAAGUUGUAAGCACAGAAGUCUCUUUUCAGUGUUAGCAAUCUCUUAUCUUUAAAUUCAAGAUAGCUGGGGUUUUGUUGACACCACUCUCUUAAAACUUUGCUGGCUCCCUAAUUCACCGCACAUUCCAAAAGCCACAUCAAUAAUUAAUUUUGCAGCAGAUCCCUAUCUUGGUCUGUGUAUGAGAUUGCUGAAGGAAAUGCCCUCAAGAUUCUUAGAUCUCAUUUGGAAAACUGAGAAAAUUUAUAAGGCACCAAUUUAAAUAUUUCAGAAGGCUUAAUAAAAACCCUAGCCCUUUUGCCAUUUUCCUAGCCUUUGCUAACUGAUUUAUCACUGCUUCUCUGGGUUCUUCCUGCCACCCAGUCCCAAUGUCAAUGAUGCAAUUAUUUUAAAGUUUUGUUAUAGUAGCUCCCAACUUUUAGGUACUAUCUCUGUAUCUGUUAACUAUUGGUCAAAAGUAACGACACCAAAACUCAAUGGUUUAAACAGGUGAUCCUCCUGCUGCUUUACUUGGGUUCCCUCACAUGACUCCUGGAGGUAAACUAGGCAGUAAGGUACUAGGUGGCCUCACUCACCUGUCCAGCAGUUGAUGCUGUCUCCUUUGUGACAACUUAGUUCUCCAAGUGGUCACUUAUCUUCUAGUAGACUAUACCAACUUCCUUGUCUAGUGAUGUUAGAGCAGCCUUCUAAGAGUAGUAAAGGCAAAUACUGCAAAGCCUCUAGAGACCAUAGCUCCUGAACUUAUACAACAUAGUUUCUGGUACAUUCCAUUUGUUAAAGGAUGUCGCAAGGCCAGCCAAAAUUCAAAAAUCAGUAAAUUGAUGUUCAUCUCUUAAUUCUUGUUACUAUAAAGCAUUUGUUUACUCUAUAAUAAACAUUAAUAUGUUUAUUAAUAAAUAUUAACAUAAUCAUAAUAAUGUAUAGAAACAUAAUUUUCACUGCUUUUGACAAAGAAAACUUACUAAAAGAGUAUAACUUUUUUUUUAAUUUCUAGGUUUAGUUAAAUAUAAAUGGGUAAUUAACUUUCCAAAAAGAAUAAAACAGUCAAUCUCUCUGCACACACACACAAGAUGCUUUUCUUAAUUUUUUCUGUGAAUGACUUGACUUGAUAUUUAGGUUUUAAUUUUCUUGAACAACUUAGGUGUUGCAAAAAUAAAAACUGUUGUAAUAAAAGUUUUAUGGCUUGGAGAGUCCUACUUUUCACAGCAAAGCUGAGGGAGAACGGAAAACACAUAGCUUUGAUGGGAUUCUUCAUAAAAUAGCUUGUUUUUUGUGCUGCUGAAAAUAGUAUUGAUGGCUUGGAGAUGUCACAAAAAUUUAUUUGGCCUAUAUACAUGUAACUUAAAAUAUAUCAAGGAGAUUUAAAAUCAAUUUGACUCUCUGUUGUAUACGCUGCUGGAAAGCAGUUUUAUUUCCUUCUCUGCAUAUAGAUUCAUUAUCAUUUUUACCUGUGCUUUCAUAGUAUGAAAUUUUUGCAAUUUGAUUUUAUUUAAUAUGUUUGUGAAGUUUGUGCACAUUGACAGGAUUGACACUAGGUGAUUUGUGUAACUGUUUUAGAGUGUCCAGUCUUGUGUAAUAUAUUUCAAAUUGUUUAUCCAUGCUAUUAUUGAUGGCAUUUCAAAAUUUGUUGUUAUAAACAAUACUGGUUUGUAUAUUUUGUUUAUAUCUCCUUGUGUACAUGAGCAAAAUUUUCUUAAGCAGUGGAAAUGCUGAGUUGUGAGAUAGGAACAUAUUCAAGUUUUCUGGACCUUUCCAAAUUGUUCUCCAGAAUGGUUGUGACACUUUACACUGCCAUCCAAAGUGUACGGAAGUUCCUAGGAGUGCACAUUAUCUCUAGCACUUGACAUUGCUGGAUGUUUUGAUGUAUACUUUUGCUGAAAAACAAAACAAACAAACAAAAAAAACAGAUUUCCUUUUAUUUUUUAUUUUUUUAUUUUUUUAGAGAUGAGGUCUCUCUAUGUUGCCCAAGCUGGUCUUUAACUCUAAGGCUCAAGCAAUUCUCCCACCUCGACUUCUCAAAGUGCUGAGACUACAGGUGUGAGCCAUGUGCCUGGUCUUGAUUUUUAAUUUAAAUGUGUGAACUGACAUCUCAUUCUGGUUUUUAAGCCACGCAAGUGGGAGAAGGGAAAAUGAAAUCAAGAAGGUCAUUGUCCAAGUAUUCUCACUUGUUUCUUAUCAGGGAUGAAAAUCCACAACUGAAGUUGAAGAUAGACUAAGCGGUAAACAUGGUCAGUGCCACUUUGUGGAAGAGCAGCAAGAAUCAUCUUACUCGGGCAUUUAUUCCAUGUAACUCUAUUUCAGAACUCUAAACUGACUCCAAAUCAAGUUUAAUAAUGGUCCUUCAUUGAAGUCUGAACUUCAAACCAUGGACUUCAAGUGCCUCUGUCAAUCUAUUUCUCAACUUACUAAUUGUUCUCAUUUCUUAUUUGUAACUAAUCACUGACAGUGCAUAAAAUGUGGCUUGAGCAUGAAGAAAGAAACAUAUAUAGAGAUAAUAAUUUCCUCAAUUUAGUGAAACUUACAGUCUUUUUUCUUUACCAAAAAAUGGUCCGUUUGUAAUUAAUAUUAAUUACUUGAAACUGUAAUGAUCCUCAUCAACUUCAUGAAUCAGCUAUGUAUGUGCCUUAGAAGAAGUCUACUUCAUCUCCAACCAAAGUAUAAGCCUUAUUGGUCAAAAGGCAAUCUCAUUUUCCUUGUCAGCUCUUGGUUCAAAAAGAACAUGCAACCCAGUUUCCACCAAUAAGACUUGAUGACAAGUUUGCUGGGAUGGAGAGCAUCUUUAGAAAAAUUUUCCUCCUCACUAAGAGUGGAGCACAAAAAGUUAUAAUGUCUCUUCUUUUUCUAAACAUAGUCACAUAAGGGACCACUGCAACCACACCUUUACCAUCCUGAGGAAGAAAGAUGGCAGACCUGAGGACUGGAAAGAAAGCACAUUUGACAUCAAAUUUCUUAAACAACUUAGAAACCAAUUUUUCUCUAAAUUUCUGUCUCUAAAUGUUUUCUCUAAAUUAUGUGAGAUAAUACCUUUCUCUGUUAGGCAAGUCUCUAAAGUUUUUCUUUUCCUUGAAGCAGAGAUUAUCCUAAUACAAAUGGGGUAAGGAUUAUUUCAGCUGAAAAUACGGAAUUGUUUAGUUAGUGUUUUUCCAUGUACAUUGGCCCUCUCAAAAAUUAUUUCUUUAUAUGAAAAUACAUUUUGUUAAUAUCGUGUAUAUACUACAUAAUUCCAAGGAACAUAUAAUAUUUGUCUGUAUCCAUUUCACUGUACUGAGUCAUCUGACUGGGAACCUGGUGUUUGGCAAAAAUCCUAACACAAAAUAUAGGCUAUUCAAAGCUUCACUAUAUUACUGGGAGCGGAAACGGCUGUUUGUAAAGUUCUUUUGUGACAACAUUUUUGUGAUAUAUGAAAUAAAAACAAAUGGAUUGAAUUUCUCAUAAAUCAGUGUUUAAAGUAACCAAAAUAAUGAGAGAAAAUUGUUUUUUGCCAAAAAAGAUAUAUUUUAAGUAUCACUGAAGUCAUUUCCAGCUUCUCUUUUCUAAUCCCAAUAAAUUCACUACUGAAAAUUAUGAAAGGGUUGUACAUAGCUAAAACCAAGGUUACAAAUGUGUGUGAAAAAUCUUGGCAAGUCACGUUAAAAUACAGAAUGGCACCAUGGCCUGGGUGAAGAGCAAUACUUAUUCUCCUAAUUAAAUAUAAGCAAACCUCUGAUUUCUACCUGACUCACCAAUUUGGAAUGUAGCUUUUUUGAAAUGUUUGUACCAAAAGAAAGACUAAUUGUUUUAACUUUUAAAUGAUAAAGUAACAUGCCUUAUUUCUCUCCAGACACAUUCCACUGGAACAAUAGCUAGAGAUAAUCUGUUACUCUCAGGAUAUCCUCUCAGUGUAAAUUGGGAUUUUGCAGUUCAUAACCCAUAACCAAUAGUAUAAACAAGAUGAAAUAUAGCCAUUUGUAGAGAGAGUUGCCAAAAAGAUGUGUUUUCUGUUUUCUUCAUUAUGAUCAUUUAAAAUUUUUUCAUUAAAACUUUCUUGUACUUAUUUCUUUUCUUGAAGAUAUAUUUGAAAUAAUUCAUCCGUAGGAUUCUUAGGAUUUAAACAACAGCAAGAACAAACACAACAACUUUAUUUUUUAGUGUCAUUAAUUCAAAUAGGUUAGAUUUCACUUACCAAAUCAUUCAACUUUAAUUUUUAAGCACUUAACAUAAGACAAGUACUGUAUUCAAUGCAGAAAGCAUGAUAGUAAGAUAGACACUAAGCCUAUGUCUCUGCAUUUUUCAGUCUUUAAAAGGGCAGAAAAGUAAACAAACCGUAACACCAAAUGUAUUUAGAGCUACAAUACAGGAAGUGCAAAAUCUAGUAAAAUCACAGAGCAGGAGCAAUGAGCUAGUUUAUGAGGUCAAGGAAGAUUCCUAGAGGAAAUGAUAUUUAAUUCAUGUUUUCAAAUUUG